AUCAAGGAUAUAUGUUGGGUUUUUUCUCUUCUCCUCCCUGCCUCCUUUUAUAUAAAUAGUAACAGAUUCUAUACACUUUCUGCCUAUUUUUCUUUUUAAAUGAUGUAACCUAGAGAUAUCUCUGUAUCAGUGCUUAAGAGCUUCCUCAUUCUGUUGCACAGCAUUCCAUUAAACAGGUGUGCCACAUUUUAAGGGAUCUCAAACACCCUCAAAGGACAAUAGGGGACCAUAAAAAGAUUUUAGAUUUCUAGAAUACUCCCUGUGAUGAAUCAUGGAUUAUCAAGGCCAGGUGGUGAAAGAGGCCCUGAAUGUAAGACCAAAGGAAAAAAUGGUAUUCUUUCAUCUGCUUCUCUGCUUCAUUUUUUUACCUGCUCCUGGACAUCUUCAAACUCUGAGCUGAGCAACUCUAUGAAGAUAGGCACAGCUCCUGCCUGAAUUACAAUCCGCGUCUGAAGAGAAUUUCCUGAAGCAAUAUUUGUCAAUACCCAAGCUGAUUCAAACUAUAAAGAUAAAAAUAAUUUUAUUAUAUUAUGAGCAUUUAAUAGCUUGUUUUUAGCUAUAACAAUAAGGUUUUCUGUAUGUGAAGAAAAGAAUCUGAAAUCAGUAUUUACACACAAUCUAUCAGAUGGAUUCUGUAUCAAUUUUAAAUGGAGAAUUCCCAGUACAAAAACCUUGACCUAGAAUAUUCAGUCUAAAAUUUGGCCUAAAAUUUCAGACCAAAGUAGAGCUGACAUAAUACAUAAAAAAAGAAUGAGGGACUGCUUCAUAUGCUGCCAUAAAUGAUCUCCCAAGAAACAAAUGAAAAAAAGGAAAAAAAAAAAAAAAGCCUAAUAGUGUACAUUAAGAUAGGAUCAUACUGUAUUUUCUAAAAGGGUUAAGAAGGAAUAUAUGCAUUAAUUUACUUAUGGUACAGAAUAUCUCUGGCACGAGUCAUAAGAAACUGUAAAUACUUGUUAACUACAUGGAAAGGUAAGGGUGAAUGGGAAAGAAAAUCUUAUGUAUCAUUUUGGCCUUAAACCAUGUAUAUUAUCUAAUUUAAAAAAAGUAAAUAAUUUCUAUAAGAUGGACAGAGAAAAGUGGAGAGGAUCUUAAUGGAAAAUGUGUAAGACACAAGGACAGUGAAAAAGGCCAAAGAUAUUUUAAAUGAUAAGUGAGCCAAAAGGAGCUAACUGGCAUUCAAAUAGAAAUGGCAACAUUAGAGCAUAAGAGCUGCUGACAAAUGAGAGGGCUCCAAACUAAAGUACAGAGGUAAGAUUUUUUUUAAAUUAUUUUUAUUAACAUAUAAUGUAUUAUUUGCCCCAGGGGUACAGGUCUGUGAACUGUCAGGCUUACACACUUCACAGCACUCACCAUAGCAUAUACCCUCCCCAAUGUCCACCACCCAACCACCCUCUCCAUACCGGAGAUAAGAUUUUUUAAAAAGAGCAUUCUUUAAGGCUGAUAAACUGGUAAACAGAAAGUAUGAAAGAAAUCAUGGCCAACAAAAAGUACAGCAUUUUACUAAUCUGUCCAUCUGUGCAGUAAUUUGACUCUACCCUAAAAUGGAGAAAUCCAAGAAUGAACUCAUAAAUUCUAUUUACUUAAAAGAGUUCUUAUUCUUACUAAACUUUAGUUUUGUUUCCUUAUUCUGUUCUAUUUAGCAUUUAAUAAAGCACAUACACAGAAAAAAAUUCAGUGGCAUGUCCCUUGAAUGAGAGAUCAGUAAAAAGUCACUGAAAGAGCUGUGACUCUUCUAAAAGAACUUUUGUGUCAACUGAAAGGCAGCUGUCAUAUGGAAAACUAAAUAAUCAAUCAUUGGAUUCGGGGGAAGGAAAGCAGAAGACAUGGAAAGACAAUCUGAUUAUCAUAAUCCAAAGCAUGUGAAUGAUAGCAAAUUCACAAUAGUAGAUGCCUAAAGAAGGGGACGUUCCAAGAAACCUAUGAAAGUGAUAAAUACAAAUGAGUACAGAGGUUAGGCAGCCUAACUGGACAAUGAUAUUACAGUAGCAAGGAGGUCCAAACCAGGAGCACCACAGUUAAAGGGAAAAUAUUUUCUUUUUGAUAAGUUUGUUAAAAGAGAAGUUCAAGAGACUUCUAAACACUGAAUAUCAUAAAAUAAAAAUUCUAUUACAUACCAUGUUCAUAACUGAAUCACUCCUGAAACCCAUGCUCAAAGCCUUUUCAAUCUGUCUGAAUUGAAACCUUACAUUUGUUCAGUACUUUGUAUUUUCAAAGCAUUACUCACAUAUGUUUCUCACAACAUCCCAGAGAAGUCUGGCUUUGGUAGUUUAUGAAUGAGGAAACUAUCAGAAAAAGGGCCAAUAAUCUAUUUAUGUUAUGAAGCCAUUCAGAGAACUAGAUUACAGCCUCCCAAUAGAGUAUGCUUAUGAAGCCCAGCCACAGUCUCGUCUCAGACACACACCUGUAACAUUGACAAGAAUCUUUCAAUUCCUUGAGUUUUGCUAUCUACGCAAGAAAUUUCAAAUAAUGAUAUGCGGAUUAUUUAGGGGAUGCUAAAAAGAAAACAGUUUACCUAAAAUGCAGUUUCUUUUGCUUUCUAGGAAAACUAACUAGCAGAGUUAAAACUUGGAGACAGAUGAUGUGAAUACAAAAGCAAACCUUCCUACCAGACGGCAGGCUCCAAGUUGAACAAAGAGUCAUGAGAUACUGCAGAGACCAAGUCAAAGAAAUGACAACUGUGAGGAAAAGCUGUGUAUGAAGAAUGAGUGAGAUGGGCAUACAUACCAGUCUCUGUCAAAGAGAAAACAGACUGCGAUGAGAUUCUAAUGUAAAUGAAAUGACAACAAUAACCUGCAUGGAUAAAGGCUUAUUAAAGAAUUACCAAUGAGAUAAAAUUAGAAUAGUCAUUGCUGUCAGGAGAGUUGAAGCUGCUCUCUGUCUUAUGAGAUUUAGUACCAGGAGUCUCACAGGAAGUGAGAGGGAAUUCCAGAUGCUACUUAAGAGAAUGAAAUGGAAAAGCAAAACAGAGUGAAAAUGAGUAAGAAAACAGAGAGUAAGUGAACAGGGAUGGAAGAAAAAGGGAAAUUAGGCUAUCUCAGCAAAAGAAGAAUGUACCAGAGUCAUGUUUAUUACUAAGAAGUACAUAGUGAUGAUAA